rnacentral:rRNA from 1 species
UGUGCAAAGGUAGCAUAAUCACUUGGCCUUUAAUUGAGGUCUGGAAUGAAUGGUUGGAUGAAAAGUAGACUUUCCUUGUUUUUAUAGAUAAAAUUUAAUUUCUGAAUUAAAAAGUUUAGAUGUUGGUAGAGGACGAGAAGACCCUAUAGAGCUUUAUUUUACUUAAUAUAAUUAUUUGCUUGUAAAUAAUUAUAUAUUAUAUUAAGUAGUAUUUUGUUGGGGUGACAAAAAAAACUUAAUAACUUUUUUUACUUGGAUUAUUUAUUUAUAAAUUUUUGACCCUUUAUUAUGGGUAAAAAGAUUAAGUUACCUUAGGGAUAACAGCGUUAUUAUUUUAGAGAGUUCAUAUUGAUAAAAUAGUUUGCGACCUCGAUGUUGGAUUAAAAUUAGUUUCAGGGGCAGAAUAUUGAUUUACUAGGUCUGUUCGACCUUUAAAUUUU